rnacentral:rRNA from 1 species
UAGGGAAUCUUCCACAAUGGACGCAAGUCUGAUGGAGCAACGCCGCGUGAGUGAAGAAGGCUUUCGGGUCGUAAAACUCUGUUAUUGAAGAAGAACGUGUGUGACAGUAACUGGUCAUGCAGUGACGGUAUUCAAUCAGAAAGUCACGGCUAACUACGUGCCAGCAGCCGCGGUAAUACGUAGGUGGCAAGCGUUGUCCGGAUUUAUUGGGCGUAAAGCGAGUGCAGGCGGUCUUUUAAGUCUGAUGUGAAAGCCUUCGGCUUAACCGAAGAAGGGCAUCGGAAACUGGGAGACUUGAGUGCAGAAGAGGAGAGUGGAACUCCAUGUGUAGCGGUGAAAUGCGUAGAUAUAUGGAAGAACACCAGUGGCGAAGGCGGCUCUCUGGUCUGUAACUGACGCUGAGGCUCGAAAGCGUGGGUAGCAAACAGGAUUAGAUACCCUGGUAGCCCACGCCGUAAACGAUGAAUACUAAGUGUUGGAGGGUUUCCGCCCUUCAGUGCUGCAGCUAACGCAUUAAGUAUUCCGCCUGGGGAGUACGACCGCAAGGUUGAAAC